UGAUGGGUCCAUUAUACAUUAAGAAUUUGUAUGACCUGACAUUCACGGGUGCUAACAUUUUCUGAAUAGGCAUGAGUGAAAAGGUGAUUAAGAAUUCUGAUCGAUAGUGAUGGGGAGGUAUUUGUCGAGGUUGCUAGGUGUGUGGACUUUCCUUUUCUGCAAGGACUUCUUUAGUUCUUCGCUUGCAAUUUGGAUGACCGUGUGAAGCACUGAAUUCCGCCCUUGAUGAGAUGCCUGGCAAUCAUUCUGUUUUCUUAAUGGGAGAAGAGGUACCAGGAUACCACCUGGAAGACAAGAUAAUAACAUUGCAGAUAGACAGAAACAGAAUUACUUUACACUAAUUCGACGUCUAUCGAGCAAUGGAACAACAAAGG